CUUUGAUUUCCCAAGCUAAAUUAUGUCAACAAAAAGGUGCAGUUUAAUCCACAGCCACAGACUGACUUCAGGAAAAAGCACAUACAAGCAAAACUACGCCCUCAUCCUUCAGGGUGAGUUUCAGACUGAAAACUGAUACAAAUCUCUUUGAGAUUGCAAAGUGCAAGACACGUGUCUGCAAUUGAGGGUGUAGUUUGAUUCAUGGAAUAUAUGGGCAUGCAUCAGCAUGGUUGAAAAAUGGUAGUGGUUCAUGCAAAAUCGUUCAUCCCCAAACACUCAUCUCUCUCUCUUCCAGAAAGCAACACAGGUACCCUCUUUCUCUCUCUAUGUAAGAUCUAAGGUUCUAAAUCAGACAUUUCUCAUUUCUCAAAGCUUUCUAGAUCUAGGG